rnacentral:rRNA from 1 species
GAUGAACGCUGGCGGCGUGCUUAACACAUGCAAGUCGAACGGAAAGGCCUUUGUUUGCUGGGGUACUCGAGUGGCGAACGGGUGAGUAACACGUGGGUGAUCUGCCCUGCACUUCGGGAUAAGUCUGGGAAACUGGGUCUAAUACCGGAUAGGACAUUGGUUUGGAUGCUGUUGUGGAGAGUUUUUCGGGGUGGGGUGAGGUCGCGGCCUAUCAGCGUGUUGGUGGGGUAGUGGCGUACCAAGGCGUCGAGGGGUAGUCGGCCUGUGAGGGGGUGAGGCCCCACAGUGGGAGUGAGAUGGCGCACAGACUCACGGGGGGGAGAAGAGGGGAGAAUAGCGCAAAGGGGGCAGGCGUGAGGCGGAGACGCGGCGUGGGGGGGGACAGGGUUCGGGGUGUGAAAACCGCUCGCGAGGGAGAAGGAGUGUUUGUGACGGUAACGGGAGAAGAAGCACCGGCUAACUACGUG